rnacentral:rRNA from 1 species
UGGGGAAUUUUGGACAAUGGGGGAAACCCUGAUCCAGCCAUCCCGCGUGUGCGAUGAAGGCCUUCGGGUUGUAAAGCACUUUUGGCAGGAAAGAAACGUCGCGGGUUAAUACCCCGCGAAACUGACGGUACCUGCAGAAUAAGCACCGGCUAACUACGUGCCAGCAGCCGCGGUAAUACGUAGGGUGCAAGCGUUAAUCGGAAUUACUGGGCGUAAAGCGUGCGCAGGCGGUUCGGAAAGAAAGAUGUGAAAUCCCAGAGCUUAACUUUGGAACUGCAUUUUUAACUACCGGGCUAGAGUGUGUCAGAGGGAGGUGGAAUUCCGCGUGUAGCAGUGAAAUGCGUAGAUAUGCGGAGGAACACCGAUGGCGAAGGCAGCCUCCUGGGAUAACACCUGACGCUCAUGCACGAAAGCGUGGGGAGCAAACAGGAUUAGAUACCCUGGUAGUCCACGCCCUAAACGAUGUCAACUAGCUGUUGGGGCCUUCGGGCCUUGGUAGCGCAGCUAACGCGUGAAGUUGACCGCCUGGGGAGUACGGUC